AAAUUUUGCAAGUUCGGGUCUUUGUUUGGCUAUUACCAUUGUUCAGUUGUACAUUUUUGUCCUUCUGAGCUGUUGAGUAAUAAUCCUGUUUAUGCAGACAAAUGAGCUCUAUCAGCUGGCGUCUGUUGCCUUCUGCUUGCUUGUAGCCUGAUAAGGCCUUAGAGCUUGGAAUCAUAAACAGCCGCCAUGAAGCCUUCAUCACUUCCAAACUUUGGUGCAACAAUGCUCACCAUGACCUUUUCCUUCCAGCUCUCAAGACCACACUCAAGUGGAAAUGAGCUCAUCAUGGCAACAAGGGAAACUCAGAGAAUUUUGCAAGCAGAAAGGAAUCCAUUUGGCUGCAUGGUCACCAUUAGGAUCUUACACAAAAUCAUGGGGUACUAAUUCAGUUAUGGAGAGUCCAAUCAUUAAUGAAAUAGCCACUUCUAGACACAAGAGUGUGCCUCAGGUUUAACCAAGUUGGAAUCUCUAAAUCUGAAGUAAUGUAAUUGCAUAAUAGAUGUCGAUAUGAAACCUCUAUCAGGUUGGUUUCAUAUUCUUCCGUAUGUGAGGCAAAGUCACUGAUAUUCUAAUUAUUACAUUCACUGCACAAGCAUACAUGGGCUACAAAAUCUUGCUCUGUUAAAUUUGGAAGGCUGCUUUGUAACAGCUGCAUGCUUGGAUACUCUUGCAGAGCUUCCAGCCCUCUCGAACUUGAAUAUCAGUAGAUGUAAUUUUACUAACAAUGGAUGUGAAAUGUUUUCAC